UGUUCUAGCGGCGGACGGGUGAGUAACGCGUGAGCAACCUGUCCUUCACAGGGGGAUAACACAGCGAAAGUUGUACUAAUACCGCAUAAGACCACAACGGGACAUCCCGAAGGGGUCAAAGGAGCAAUCCGGUGAAGGGUGGGCUCGCGUCCGAUUAGAUAGUUGGUGAGGUAACGGCCCACCAAGUCGACGAUCGGUAGCCGACCUGAGAGGGUGAUCGGCCACAUUGGGACUGAGACACGGCCCAAACUCCUACGGGAGGCAGCAGUGGGGAAUAUUGGGCAAUGGGGGAAACCCUGACCCAGCAACGCCGCGUGAGGGAAGAAGGUUUUCGGAUCGUAAACCUCUGUCCUUGGUGAAGAGGAAGAGACGGUAGCCAAGGAGGAAGCCCCGGCUAACUACGUGCCAGCAGCCGCGGUAAUACGUAGGGGGCGAGCGUUGUCCGGAAUGAUUGGGCGUAAAGGGCGCGUAGGCGGCCCGGUAAGUCUGGAGUGAAAGUCCUGUUUUUAAGAUGGGAAUUGCUUUGGAUACUGUCGGGCUUGAGUGCAGGAGAGGUAAGUGGAAUUCCCAGUGUAGCGGUGAAAUGCGUAGAGAUUGGGAGGAACACCAGUGGCGAAGGCGACUUACUGGACUGUAACUGACGCUGA
rnacentral:rRNA from 1 species